rnacentral:rRNA from 1 species
AGUGAACGCUGGCGGUAGGCCUAACACAUGCAAGUCGAACGGCAGCACAGUAAGAGCUUGCUCUUACGGGUGGCGAGUGGCGGACGGGUGAGGAAUACAUCGGAAUCUACUUUUUCGUGGGGGAUAACGUGGGGAAACUUACGCUAAUACCGCAUACGGCCUACGGGUGGAAGCAGGGGAUCUUCGGACCUUGCGCGAUUGAAUGAGCCGAUGUCGGAUUAGCUAGUUGGCGGGGUAAAGGCCCACCAAGGCGACGAUCCGUAGCUGGUCUGAGAGGAUGAUCAGCCACACUGGAACUGAGACACGGUCCAGACUCCUACGGGAGGCAGCAGUGGGGAAUAUUGGACAAUGGGCGCAAGCCUGAUCCAGCCAUACCGCGUGUGUGAAGAAGGCCUUCGGGUUGUAAAGCCCUUUUGUUGGGAAAGAAAAGCAGCAGGUUAAUACCCCGCUGUUCUGACGGUACCCAAAGAAUAAGCACCGGCUAACUUCGUG